rnacentral:rRNA from 1 species
UAGGGAAUAUUGGACAAUGGGGGCAACCCUGAUCCAGCCAUGCCGCGUGAGUGAAGAAGGCCCUCGGGUUGUAAAGCUCUUUUGUCCGGAAAGAAAAGCUUCGGGUUAAUACCCCGGGGUUCUGACGGUACCGGAAGAAUAAGCACCGGCUAACUUCGUGCCAGCAGCCGCGGUAAUACGAAGGGUGCAAGCGUUACUCGGAAUUACUGGGCGUAAAGCGUGCGUAGGUGGUUGUUUAAGUCUGAUGUGAAAGCCCUGGGCUCAACCUUGGAAUGGCAUUGGAAACUGGGCAGCUAGAGUGCGGUAGAGGGUAGUGGAAUUCCCGGUGUAGCAGUGAAAUGCGUAGAGAUCUGGAGGAAUACCGGUGGCGAAGGCGGCCCCCUGGACAAAGACUGACGCUCAGGUGCGAAAGCGUGGGGAGCAAACA